UACCUGGGAGAGCUCCCAGCUCACGGCCAUCCUGCAGGCUCACGUGGAGCCUCCAUUGCCUGGCCUUCUUCUUUUCACAGCCAAGGCUCCUACGAGCCCUUCCUUCCCGACCCUCUCCCUCGUCCCUUCCCAAGUCCUCUCAUCUCUUCUUCACCAAGUCCUGAGGAAGAGGGCAGGGCAGGGACUGCCAUCCUCAGAGCUGCUGUGCCGGAGCAGUGGGACGAAUCCAGUGGAGGGACCUCAAACAUCGCAGGGGUGCAAGGAUCCUCCAAAGCUCCCAUGAGCCCAUCCUUCCUAUCCUCCUCCCUCAUCCCUGCCCAGAGUGGGAGAAGUCAAAGAAGGGACAGAGGCAGCUGAUCCUGGGGAGAACCACACUUUGGUUCAGGCAGGAAGAAGUGCUGAACUGCAGCAAGAAGGUCCAGUCCAGGUGUUUUCCUUUUUGGAAAGUUUGGACUUUCCUUUCAAGACUAGACAAUCAACAAUUUAAAACAACAAUACAAAAUAAUAAAAAAAUCAAAACCGCAAUAUAAAAUAAACACAUUUUCUUUUUUAAAAAAGAAAAGCACUGAUUGUCUUUCUGCUUUAGGAACCUUAGAGUUUGCACAUAGGUUCCCGCGUCCCCUCCUUGCCUCCCGCACACACAACGCACCCCGCAGCAGGACACGCUGCCCUCAUUGCCAGCCUGAGGAACAACCACCGCACUGCACACACCACUGAGGCUGUCCCCUUGCCCUGCCUCAGCACCCUCUGCUACGUGGCAGGGAUAUUUCACACACACAUCAUCAAAAAAACAGUAAAGAGCCUCUUUUUACUCUUGAAUGACAGAAUCAGAAAUCUCACAGUAUUCCACAUCCUCUCAACAACUGACUGGUUAAUGAACAGAGAUGCUUGAACUGAAUACAAGAAUUGGCAUUUGUUGGGACAAGCAUAGCACUAAAGCAAAACAUUUUGGUUUCAAUUAAUGACAGCCCCCCCCCAGGUGGCAGUCAGAAGUCCCCUUGCCCUGCGCCAUCAUGGCAGCAGCUCUGUCCCACCGAGCGGCCUGGCCCAACAGCAGCCGCAUAGAGGUUUGCAGUCAGUAACGGAUGGGCUAACACCAGGACUUGGGAAGGGCACAGGGCUGUGCUAACUCAGGUGAUAGCAAAUAACCAUGUGCAGUUUGAUACACUGUCUUAACACAGUCUGUGAACAGUAGAAAAUUCACAGCCAUGCUUUCUGUUUUGAUUCAGGAAUUUGAGAACAGGUUUCAAGGUUGCCAGGAAAAUGAUCAAUUUUUUAAUCUAAUUGUGACUCCAUUUUCAGUCGGCUUAAGUAGGUUCUCUGAAAAUUUUC
rnacentral:lncRNA from 1 species